rnacentral:rRNA from 1 species
CCUACGGGAGGCAGCAGUGGGGAAUAUUGGACAAUGGGCGCAACCCUGAUCCAGCCAUGCCGCGUGAGUGAUGAAGGCCUUCGGGUUGUAAAGCUCUUUUGCCGGGGACGAUAAUGACGGUACCCGSAGAAUAAGCCCCGGCUAACUCCGUGCCAGCAGCCGCGGUAAUACGAAGGGNGCUAGCGUUGUUCGGAAUUACUGGGCGUAAAGCGNGCGUAGGNGGUUUCCCAAGUCGGANGUGAAAGCCCGGGGCUCAACCCCGGAACUGCCUUCGANACUGGCUGNCUAGANUNNCGGAGAGGNNAGUGGAAUUCCCAGUGUAGAGGUGAAAUUCGUAGAUAUUGGGAAGAACACCAGUGGCGAAGGCGGCUAUCUGGACNNNUNNUGACGCUGAGGCNCGAAAGCGUGGGGAGCAAACAGGAUUAGAUAC